rnacentral:rRNA from 1 species
GUGCCAGCCGCCGCGGUAAUACCGGCAGCACGAGUGAUGGCCGAUUUUAUUGGGCCUAAAGCGUUCGUAGCCGGCCGGACAAGUCCGUUGGGAAAUCCACGCGCUCAACGCGUGGGCGUCCAGCGGAAACUAUCCGGCUUGGGGCCGGAAGACUCGAGGGGUACGUCCGGGGUAGGAGUGAAAUCCCGUAAUCCUGGACGGACCACCGGUGGCGAAAGCGCCUCGAGAAGACGGACCCGACGGUGAGGAACGAAAGCCAGGGUCUCGAACCGGAUUAGAUACCCGAGUAGUCC